UCGAGGGGUAUUGGUUUUCGGACCAGAGACCGGCGCACGGGUGCGUAGCGCGUAUGCAAUCUACCUUUUACAGAGGGAUAGCCCAGAGAAAUUUGGAUUAAUACCUCAUAGUAUUACGACUCGGCAUCGAGAUGUAAUUAAAGUCACAACGGUAAAAGAUGAGCAUGCGUCCCAUUAGCUAGAUGGUAAGGUAACGGCUUACCAUGGCAACGAUGGGUAGGGGUCCUGAGAGGGAGAUCCCCCACACUGGUACUGAGACACGGACCAGACUCCUACGGGAGGCAGCAGUGAGGAAUAUUGGUCAAUGGGCGCAAGCCUGAACCAGCCAUGCCGCGUGCAGGAUGAAGCAUCUAUGGUGUGUAAACUGCUUUUGUACGAGAAGAAACACUCCUACGUGUAGGAGCUUGACGGUAUCGUAAGAAUAAGGACCGGCUAACUCCGUGCCAGCAGCCGCGGUAAUACGGAGGGUCCAAGCGUUAUCCGGAAUCAUUGGGUUUAAAGGGUCCGUAGGCGGUUUAGUAAGUCAGUGGUGAAAGCCCAUCGCUCAACGGUGGAACGGCCAUUGAUACUGCUAGACUUGAAUUAUUAGGAAGUAACUAGAAUAUGUAGUGUAGCGGUGAAAUGCUUAGAGAUUACAUGGAAUACCAAUUGCGAAGGCAGGUUACUACUA
rnacentral:rRNA from 1 species